ACGUACACUCCUGCGGGAGGCAGCAGUGGGGAAUUUUGCACAAUGGGGGAAACCCUGAUGCAGCGACGCCGCGUGAUUUAGAAGGCCUUCGGGUUGUAAAAAUCUUUUGUAUAGGAAGAAAAUGACAGUACUAUACGAAUAAGGUCCGGCUAAUUACGUGCCAGCAGCCGCGGUAAUACGUAAGGACCGAGCGUUGUCCGGAAUCAUUGGGCGUAAAGGGUACGUAGGCGGGUUUUUAAGUUAGAAGUCAAAGGCUAUAGCUCAACUAUAGUAAGCUUCUAAAACUGGGGACCUUGAGUAAUGGAAGGGAAAGUGGAAUUCCUAGUGUAGCGGUGGAAUGCGCAGAUAUUAGGAGGAAUACCGGUGGCGAAGGCGACUUUCUGGCCAUUAACUGACGCUGAGGUACGAAAGCGUGGGUAGCAAACAGGAUUAGAAACCCCGGUAGUCCCA
rnacentral:rRNA from 1 species